CUGGAGGUAUCAGAAGUGCGAAUGCUGACAUAAGUAACGAUAAAGCGGGUGAAAAGCCCGCUCGCCGGAAGACCAAGGGUUCCUGUCCAACGUUAAUCGGGGCAGGGUGAGUCGACCCCUAAGGCGAGGCCGAAAGGCGUAGUCGAUGGGAAACGGGUUAAUAUUCCCGUACUUGGUGUUACUGCGAAGGGGGGACGGAGAAGGCUAUGUUGGCCGGGCGACGGUUGUCCCGGUUUAAGCGUGUAGGUGUGUGUUCCAGGUAAAUCCGGUUCACUUUAACACUGAGGCGUGACGACGAGGCACUACGGUGCUGAAGCAACAAAUGCCCUGCUUCCAGGAAAAGCCUCUAAGCAUCAGGUAACAUCAAAUCGUACCCCAAACCGACACAGGUGGUCAGGUAGAGAAUACCAAGGCGCUUGAGAGAACUCGGGUGAAGGAACUAGGCAAAAUGGUGCCGUAACUUCGGGAGAAGGCACGCUGACACGUAGGUGAAGUGAUUUACUCAUGGA
rnacentral:rRNA from 1 species